UGUUCCAUCCGAUGUGCCUGCAACAUAAUUGUUUCCCUUUAUUUCCUGUUCCCGUUGCCGCUGCUGGCUUCAUUCUCAUGCUGCAUAUCAUGAUCACAUUCAAACAGCUAUUCCCAGGUCUGUUCAUCCCUAAAUUGAGGCAAAUGCGACACUGUUUUCUUCUCAUCAUCAUUCAUGCAUUCUACUAGUACUGAAUACUGGGAGGCAUAUAGUAGUAUCUGCUCAAAAACAUGUGUGGUCUCUUGGCCUUUUCAGCCGGCGUGCUUGGCUCGCCCUCUGGACGUGCCUCCAACGUGACUCCAGAUUUGAUCUGUUCUUUAUUUGUGUGCCGGGGAAUCACGCAAUAUAAUUAUUCACUGGCGCCGGAUGCCCGAUCACAAAGAGUGCUAAUAACAAGUGGACACAUGGAGGAACACAAAUGCAGUGUUGCCCAGUGGCUGGCCCACUCUGCAGCGUACCAUCGGCUUUGCUUCCAUGGGGCUCCAGAGGUGUCUACGGACAAGAAGAAGAAGAGGGAAUGCAUUUGCAUGCAAAGGUGAUGUAAUUUCACAUGCAAUUAACGAACACUUGUACCAUCAGUAUAUUUAUAUAGUAAACAGAAUUGCACACUGCUUGAUUCCCUUGAA